rnacentral:lncRNA from 1 species
UUCCUUACAGAGCCCCACAGGCAGCCCCGUGCAGGCCCUGCCAGUGAGUCCAGGGUUUUAUUUCAAGCCGUCCUUCCCCGUCAAGCUCAUCGCCUGCGUUUGGCCACACACUCGCAGCUCUCCGAGCACAGCUGGUUUUUUCCUCUUUGUUUACUCUUUCAACAAAAGCUGGAUUCUAGACCAAGCUGUUAAGUCCUGGAGAUGCAGAAAGGAACAAGACAAACACAGGCUCAGCCCUCCAAAGCUUUCAGACUGGGAAGAGAGCACAGCUCCUCUGCCCACCAUCAGCGCUGCAUGUCCAGAGCCCGGGUCAAGGCCAGGUGCAGGGGACGCACUCAGGAAAUGCGUGAUCAAAGCAAACAGCCAUUUUGGAGAAGUCAGAGGAACUUAUUCUAGAUGGGUCAAGAAAGUCCAUCCAGCGUCAUUGCAGAGCCUCCGCAUCAAGACAAUGAACUUUAGUCCUC